AUGCAAGUCGAACGCCUGUAGCAAUACAGGAGUGGCGCACGGGUGAGUAAUACGUAGGUAAUGUACCAAUUGGUGUGGAAUAACCGACCGAAAGGUUGGCUAAUACCGCAUACGUUCUCUUGAGGUUCGCCGAUGGAGAAGAAAGGGGGGCAACUCCCGCCGAUUGAUCAGCCUGCGUCCCAUCAGCUUGUUGGUGAGGUAACGGCUCACCAAGGCGACAACGGGUAGCUGGUCUGAGAGGAUGAUCAGCCACACUGGGACUGAGACACGGCCCAGACUCCUACGGGAGGCAGCAGUGGGGAAUAUUGGACAAUGGGCGAAAGCCUGAUCCAGCAAUGCCGCGUGAGUGAUGAAGGCCCUCGGGUUGUAAAGCUCUGUCGGGAGGGACGAACGGUCUCGGGUAAUGCCGAGGAUUGACGGUACCUCCAAAGGAAGCACCGGCUAACUCUGUGCCAGCAGCCGCGGUAAUACAGAGGGUGCAAGCGUUGUUCGGAAUUACUGGGCGUAAAGCGCGUGUAGGCGGCGUCGUAAGUCGGAUGUGAAAGCCCUCGGCUCAACCGAGGAAGUGCAUCCGAUACUGCGGUGCUUGAGUGUCGGAGGGGGUGGCGGAAUUCCCGGUGUAGAGGUGAAAUUCGUAGAUAUCGGGAGGAACACCUGUGGCGAAGGCGGCCACCUGGACGACAACUGACGCUGAGACGCG
rnacentral:rRNA from 1 species